GGAGCGAGGCGGAAGUGAGGCGGCGCUGGGUCGGUUUAAUGGCGCCGGUGGCGGCGGGAACGCUACAAGUGGCGGCCCCGCCCGGCCCCGCGCCCCACGCCCGCCCCGCGCCGGGCCGCUCAACGAACCACAGACACUGGUGCCUACACGCAGCCCUGCUCGCUCCUGUGGCUCUCUCUGCUCGGUGCAACCACGCCUGUUCGCUGCCGUGGUUGCCUCAGUGGAAGUUGUCCAGGAUUUGCCGUGCUUAGCAAAGUUGUUCUGGCGAACGGCUUAUCUGGGAAGAGAGAUGAUCUUGGAUCUACAGCUCUUCUACAGAGUCUUUACUGAGGCAACUUCAUGAAACAGAGUAGAAAUGAGACAGGACAAUGAAAGCUAAUGAAAUACGAAGCUUUUCACUUCCAGCUCAUAUGUUCCAGCACAUCCUCCAACAUUAGGGGCUAUUUCACUCUGAGUGGAUCUCAGGAAGACUCCCAGCUCAUCAAGAGAAAAUUGGUGCAUGACCAUGACCUUACCUGAUGACAAAAUCUCGGAGUAGGGCAAAUUCACAGUGAUUGAGGUUUUCCACUGAAAAGAAAGCAAGCAAUCGUUACAUUUGAUUUUUUUCAACAGCCCCUUUGUGGUUAUAGAGCAUGGGAAAGUCACUGCCAUGGGGGCAGGUUCCAAGUGGGUAGAGCUUGCAUACUUCAGAAAGGACAGGCAGUUGUCUGAACGCCACGCUGUCAAGCAUUGAGGAGACACCAAGAGGUGCUCAUCAGUCACAUAGGAAUUUUCAUUUGAAAACCAAGGCAACCUUGGGAGCUUAGCUUCACACACCGUGGUGUUCGGAGUGGCUCCACCUUCUGCCAGGUGGUGAUAGUGGCACCAUAUUGACCAUGGCAGUUCCCUUCUGGCACAGCUAUUUGAGAAUUCUCCUUUUGCUUGGUUUCAAACAGUUUGUCAAAAAUGGGAUGGGAAGGUUAUCUGGACCCUUGUCUAUUACUGUGAUCUGCAGACAUACUUUCAGCUCCUGUAAGCAAGAAGUUUUUUACCUUCAAUGAUUCCCCAAGGUGUUUUCCUGCCCAGGACUCUUUUGCCAUUCACUUGGUACUCCUUGUCACUGCCCACUACUGCAAAGGGCAUGCUUUCCUGCUGGGGAGAGACACAUGGAAAGAUCCAUUGAACCUAUUCCAGAGAGCAGCACCACCACGGUUCCCCAUCCACCUUUCCUCCUCUCAGCUCAACAAACACAAGGCCUUCUCUGAGGGAAAAGAUUCUACAGAGCAAAACUUCACUGGCUGUCCUUUUCACCCACCAGUGCUAUCCCUAGAAUUCUGGACCCUUGCUUUCCAGGUGUCCUUACACCCUAACAAGCUUAGUGGGUAGCUUGCAGCAGUGCCAAGGGCUCUGGAGCUGAGGCAGAGCUUUUCUGCACCUAUCUCCAGCAUUCCUCAGGAGGGGGAUGACGAGGGGAAGAAGUACCUUAGCAUAACCAGCAGAGGGUCUGUCAGCCCAGAGCUGCUCACAUGGAUAGUUUGAGGUGAGUAUUUCUCACCAGAUUUGUAGUUCUUCACAAUAGAAAGAGAGGACUCAAAUAAUCCUUCCCCAUAAGACACAUGAACAUUCAACAAGUUUAGUGGCUGAAAUUGUACUGAGGAAACCCAGAAUAGGAGUAGGGGUGCAGCUUUCCUGGGAAGUAGGACAGGAGGUGAGGCUAUUGGGGACCCAGAUAUCUCUAAGCACAGGGAGAAACUAUCUUUCCAGAGCACAGAGUGCAGGAGACUCUGCUAUCCAUAGGGUUGUGCAGAUGUUCAUAGGUUUACUCUAUAGAUAUCCCUGGGCCUGGAAAGAGACUGCAAUUACCACAGGAAUGGAGAUUAAAAAGCAGUUUAUUUCUUAUGUGUGAGGGCAAUGAUGCUGAAGUGUAGAACAAAAUGUGGUGCCCUCCUCAUACCCCCUUCCCCUCCCACAAUAAAAUGUUUCCUACCCUGA